rnacentral:rRNA from 1 species
AUCCAAGGAAGGCAGCAGGCGCGCAAAUUACCCACUCCCAGCACGGGGAGGUAGUGACGAAAAAUAGCAAUACGGGACUCUUUUGAGACCCCGUAAUUGGAAUGAGUACACUCUAAAUCCUUUAACGAGGAUCCAUUGGAGGGCAAGUCURGUGCCAGCAGCUGCGGUAAUUCCAGCUCCAAUAGCGUAUAUUAAAGUUGUUGCGGUUAAAAAGCUCGUAGUUGGAUCUCAGUUCCAGACGGGUGGUCCGCCUAACGGUGGUUACUGCCUGUUCUGAACAGCCAGCCGGUUUCUCUUGAUGAUCUUCACCGGUUGUCUUGGGUGACCGGCAAGUUUACUUUGAAAAAAUUAGAGUGCUCAAAGCAGGCGCGACGCCUGAAUAAUGGUGCAUGGAAUAAUGGAAUAGGACCUCGGUUCUAUUUUGUUGGUUUUCGGAACACGAGGUAAUGAUUAAAAGGGACAGACGGGGGCAUUCGUAUUGCGACGCUAGAGGUGAAAUUCUUGGACCGGCGCAAGACGAACUACUGCGAAAGCAUUUGCCAAGAAUGUUUCCAUUAAUCAAGAACGAAAGUUAGAGGUUCGAAGGCGAUCAGAUACCGCCCUAGUUCUAACCAUAAACGAUGCCAGCCAGCGAUCCGGCUGUGUUCCUCAAAUGACACGCCGGGCAGCUUCCGGGAAACCAAAGUUUUUGGGUUCCGGGGGAAGUAUGGUUGCAAAGCUGAAACUUAAAGGAAUUGACGGAAGGGCACCACCAGGAAUGGAGCCUGCGGCUUAAUUUGACUCAACACGGGAAAACUUACCCGGCCCGGACACAAGAAGGAUUGACAGAUUAAGAGCUCUUUCUUGAUUUUGUGGGUGGUGGUGCAUGGCCGUUCUUAGUUGGUGGAGCGAUUUGUCUGGUUAAUUCCGAUAACGAGCGAGACUCUAGCCUACUAAAUAGACGUUCCCAUCCUAUGCGUGGGACGUUCUUCUUAGAGGGACAAGCGGCGUUUAGCCGCACGAGACAGAGCAAUAACAGGUCUGUGAUGCCCUUAGAUGUUCGGGGCCGCACGCGCGCUACAUUGAAGGAAACAGCGUGUGCUUUCCCUGUCCGACAGGACUGGGUAACCCGAUGAACCUCCUUCGUGCUGGGGAUAGGGGAUUGUAAUUGUUCCCCUUGAACGAGGAAUUCCCAGUAAGCACGAGUCAUAAGCUCGUGUUGAUUACGUCCCUGCCCUUUGUACACACCGCCCGUCGCUACUACUGAUUGGAUGAUUUAGUGAGGUCUUCGGACUGGCGCUCGGAGCGGCCUUCUGGUCGCGCCGGCGUGCCGGAAAGAUGACCAAACUUGAUCAUCUAGAAGAAGUAAA